ensembl:lncRNA
CGUGAGCCAGUGCCCCUGACUCCACAGCUCUUUCAGGCACCCACCUCCUGCUGUGACCCUUGGGCCCAGCUUGUGGCUGGUGGGGGAGCACAUGGAUGUGACCAGCCUCUGACACGUGGGCUCCUUCCUGGAGGACACGCAGCACUUCUUGUGGCCUAGUGACACUUGCACCCUCUGGUCUGAUGCCCUGCAGCAGGCUACCCUGCAACACCUGUGUUAGGCCCUCGCCCACUGGUCCACCUCGGGCUCCAGCUCCCAGCAUUACCUGGCCAGGGCCAAAACCAGCUCUCCCACUCUCCCAAGAAAGUGACCCAGGGUUUGUCUGAUGUUCCAGGACCAGUACAGCGUCUGCACACACUCGGUGGAGUGCCGCUUCUUGCAGAGGUCUGCAGGGAGACUGGUUCAGUGCCACGGAUGCCCAUCUGAAGGUUUUCUUCAGCGGCCAGGAGCAGAGAACCAUCACAGCAUGAAACGAUAACAACCCCAGGUGGACAACACGGCUAGACUUUGAGGACGUGCUCCUGGCCACGGGAUGGAGGGAACCGAGGGUGCAGGACUCUGGCCGGGACAAUGCCUGCCUUGGCUCUUGUGACCUCAAACUUACUGCCCAGAAGUCAGAGGUCAAAGACUCCUCUUCCCUCAGUGAAGGGUCUCUGGAGUUCGUACAUGAGGUUCCUGGUGCCCCAUCCCUGAGAGUAGUGGGUGCCUGUACUCCAGCCCUCAGGAAGUCUAGGGGGAGCUUCCAGGAACCGUGGUGGGGUUUAUGGGGAGGGUUCAUCCCACGCAACCCAAAGGCUGGGCCUGAUGCCUUCCCCAGGAGCAACCAGGGAUGCCUCGUUCCCAGGAAGCUCCACUGAGGUCCUCUGUCCAGGAAAGAGAAGGCUAGGAGGUGGCUGACGGGGCAGAUCAAGAGCUACUGGGAGGGGGUGGGAAGGGGUUACGACCUCCCUUGCUUUUUAUUUUACCAGAUGCUCUGUGAAGGUGCCCUGGCUGUGCAAUGAAUUCAUGUAUCAUUAUACAACCCUUAGCUGGCCCCUCCAAUGCUCUACCAGGCGCUGAGAUCCAUGUUGCUGGGCUCUGAGAAUGAUGACAACCUGCUGUUAAGUACACGGACCCUGUAAUGUGGGCUCUGGGUGGCUCUCGGGCCCUACCUGUCCUGCUCAGAGCCCCUUGCUGCACAGGGAGUGAAGGGGCUACAAUGAACUUGACUUUGCUCUAGUCCCAAAUCUCCUCAGACCACUUAGGGGCCUUGUUUCCAUCCUCCUCAUCCUGGAAUGGGAACCAAACAGGGCUGUCCUAGCCUCCUCCUCACCCUACUCAGUGCUAAUCACCUGCCCCAGGUGGUCAAUUC